GACGAACGCUGGCGGCGUGCUUAACACAUGCAAGUCGAACGGAAAGGCCCUGCUUUUGUGGGGUGCUCGAGUGGCGAACGGGUGAGUAACACGUGAGUAACCUGCCCUUGACUUUGGGAUAACUUCAGGAAACUGGGGCUAAUACCGGAUAGGAGCUCAUGCGGCAUGGUGGGGGUUGGAAAGUUUCGGAGGUUGGGGAUGGACUCGCGGCUUAUCAGCUUGUUGGUGGGGUAGUGGCUUACCAAGGCUUUGACGGGUAGCCGGCUUGAGAGGGUGACCGGCCACAUUGGGACUAAGAUACGGCCCAGACUCCUACGGGAGGCAGCAGUGGGGAAUAUUGCACAAUGGGCGGAAGCCUGAUGCAGCAACGCCGCGUGCGGGAUGACGGCCUUCGGGUUGUAAACCGCUUUCGCCUGUGACGAAGCGUGAGUGACGGUAAUGGGUAAAGAAGCACCGGCUAACUACGUG
rnacentral:rRNA from 1 species